GGCAGGCCUAACACAUGCAAGUCGAACGGUAACAGAAAGCAGCUUGCUGCUUUGCUGACGAGUGGCGGACGGGUGAGUAAUGUCUGGGAAACUGCCUGAUGGAGGGGGAUAACUAUUGGAAACGGUAGCUAAUACCGCAUAACGUCGCAAGACCAAAGAGGGGGACCUUCGGGCCUCUUGCCAUCGGAUGUGCCCAGAUGGGAUUAGCUAGUAGGUGGGGUAAAGGCUCACCUAGGCGACGAUCCCUAGCUGGUCUGAGAGGAUGACCAGCCACACUGGAACUGAGACACGGUCCAGACUCCUACGGGAGGCAGCAGUGGGGAAUAUUGCACAAUGGGCGCAAGCCUGAUGCAGCCAUGCCGCGUGUAUGAAGAAGGCCUUCGGGUUGUAAAGUACUUUCAGCGGGGAGGAAGGGAGUAAAGUUAAUACCUUUGCUCAUUGACGUUACCCGCAGAAGAAGCACCGGCUAACUCCGUGCCAGCAGCCGCGGUAAUACGGAGGGUGCAAGCGUUAAUCGGAAUUACUGGGCGUAAAGCGCACGCAGGCGGUUUGUUAAGUCAGAUGUGAAAUCCCCGGGCUCAACCUGGGAACUGCAUCUGAUACUGGCAAGCUUGAGUCUCGUAGAGGGGGGUAGAAUUCCAGGUGUAGCGGUGAAAUGCGUAGAGAUCUGGAGGAAUACCGGUGGCGAA
rnacentral:rRNA from 1 species